rnacentral:tRNA from 1 species
UGGGGAUUCGCCAAGUUGGUUAAGGCACAGGACUUUGAUUCCUGUAUACAUGUGUUCGAAUCACAUAUCCCCUGCCA